rnacentral:ncRNA from 2 species
UUUUUAUACAGAGGCGUGGAGAGACAGGCUCGACGAAACGCCGGCAACCCCUGCAAGUGCAGAACGGUGCCAAGUCCUGAUCAUAUAAAAA